rnacentral:rRNA from 1 species
UUAAGCGACUAAGCGUACACGGUGGAUGCCCUGGCAGUCAGAGGCGAUGAAGGACGUGCUAAUCUGCGAUAAGCGUCGGUAAGGUGAUAUGAACCGUUAUAACCGGCGAUUUCCGAAUGGGGAAACCCAGUGUGAUUCGUCACACUAUCAUUAACUGAAUCCAUAGGUUAAUGAGGCGAACCGGGGGAACUGAAACAUCUAAGUACCCCGAGGAAAAGAAAUCAACCGAGAUUCCCCCAGUAGCGGCGAGCGAACGGGGAGCAGCCCAGAGCCUGAAUCAGUGUGUGUGUUAGUGGAAGCGUCUGGAAAGGCGCGCGAUACAGGGUGACAGCCCCGUACACAAAAAUGCACAUGCUGUGAGCUCGAUGAGUAGGGCGGGACACGUGGUAUCCUGUCUGAAUAUGGGGGGACCAUCCUCCAAGGCUAAAUACUCCUGACUGACCGAUAGUGAACCAGUACCGUGAGGGAAAGGCGAAAAGAACCCCGGCGAGAGGAGUGAAAAAGAACCUGAAACCGUGUACGUACAAGCAGUGGGAGCACAGAGCAAUCUGUGUGACUGCGUACCUUUUGUAUAAUGGGUCAGCGACUUAUAUUCUGUAGCAAGGUUAACCGAAUAGGGGAGCCGAAGGGAAACCGAGUCUUAACUGGGCGUUAAGUUGCAGGGUAUAGACCCGAAACCCGGUGAUCUAGCCAUGGGCAGGUUGAAGGUUGGGUAACACUAACUGGAGGACCGAACCGACUAAUGUUGAAAAAUUAGCGGAUGACUUGUGGCUGGGGGUGAAAGGCCAAUCAAACCGGGAGAUAGCUGGUUCUCCCCGAAAGCUAUUUAGGUAGCGCCUCGUGAAUUCAUCUCCGGGGGUAGAGCACUGUUUCGGCAAGGGGGUCAUCCCGACUUACCAACCCGAUGCAAACUACGAAUACCGGAGAAUGUUAUCACGGGAGACACACGGCGGGUGCUAACGUCCGUCGUGAAGAGGGAAACAACCCAGACCGCCAGCUAAGGUCCCAAAGUCAUGGUUAAGUGGGAAACGAUGUGGGAAGGCCCAGACAGCCAGGAUGUUGGCUUAGAAGCAGCCAUCAUUUAAAGAAAGCGUAAUAGCUCACUGGUCGAGUCGGCCUGCGCGGAAGAUGUAACGGGGCUAAACCAUGCACCGAAGCUGCGGCAGCGACGCUGAUGCGUUGUUGGGUAGGGGAGCGUUCUGUAAGCCUGCGAAGGUGUGCUGUGAGGCAUGCUGGAGGUAUCAGAAGUGCGAAUGCUGACAUAAGUAACGAUAAAGCGGGUGAAAAGCCCGCUCGCCGGAAGACCAAGGGUUCCUGUCCAACGUUAAUCGGGGCAGGGUGAGUCGACCCCUAAGGCGAGGCCGAAAGGCGUAGUCGAUGGGAAACAGGUUAAUAUUCCUGUACUUGGUGUUACUGCGAAGGGGGGACGGAGAAGGCUAUGUUGGCCGGGCGACGGUUGUCCCGGUUUAAGCGUGUAGGCUGGUUUUCCAGGCAAAUCCGGAAAAUCAAGGCUGAGGCGUGAUGACGAGGCACUACGGUGCUGAAGCAACAAAUGCCCUGCUUCCAGGAAAAGCCUCUAAGCAUCAGGUAACAUCAAAUCGUACCCCAAACCGACACAGGUGGUCAGGUAGAGAAUACCAAGGCGCUUGAGAGAACUCGGGUGAAGGAACUAGGCAAAAUGGUGCCGUAACUUCGGGAGAAGGCACGCUGAUAUGUAGGUGAAGUCCCUCGCGGAUGGAGCUGAAAUCAGUCGAAGAUACCAGCUGGCUGCAACUGUUUAUUAAAAACACAGCACUGUGCAAACACGAAAGUGGACGUAUACGGUGUGACGCCUGCCCGGUGCCGGAAGGUUAAUUGAUGGGGUUAGCGCAAGCGAAGCUCUUGAUCGAAGCCCCGGUAAACGGCGGCCGUAACUAUAACGGUCCUAAGGUAGCGAAAUUCCUUGUCGGGUAAGUUCCGACCUGCACGAAUGGCGUAAUGAUGGCCAGGCUGUCUCCACCCGAGACUCAGUGAAAUUGAACUCGCUGUGAAGAUGCAGUGUACCCGCGGCAAGACGGAAAGACCCCGUGAACCUUUACUAUAGCUUGACACUGAACAUUGAGCCUUGAUGUGUAGGAUAGGUGGGAGGCUUUGAAGUGUGGACGCCAGUCUGCAUGGAGCCGACCUUGAAAUACCACCCUUUAAUGUUUGAUGUUCUAACGUUGACCCGUAAUCCGGGUUGCGGACAGUGUCUGGUGGGUAGUUUGACUGGGGCGGUCUCCUCCUAAAGAGUAACGGAGGAGCACGAAGGUUGGCUAAUCCUGGUCGGACAUCAGGAGGUUAGUGCAAUGGCAUAAGCCAGCUUGACUGCGAGCGUGACGGCGCGAGCAGGUGCGAAAGCAGGUCAUAGUGAUCCGGUGGUUCUGAAUGGAAGGGCCAUCGCUCAACGGAUAAAAGGUACUCCGGGGAUAACAGGCUGAUACCGCCCAAGAGUUCAUAUCGACGGCGGUGUUUGGCACCUCGAUGUCGGCUCAUCACAUCCUGGGGCUGAAGUAGGUCCCAAGGGUAUGGCUGUUCGCCAUUUAAAGUGGUACGCGAGCUGGGUUUAGAACGUCGUGAGACAGUUCGGUCCCUAUCUGCCGUGGGCGCUGGAGAACUGAGGGGGGCUGCUCCUAGUACGAGAGGACCGGAGUGGACGCAUCACUGGUGUUCGGGUUGUCAUGCCAAUGGCACUGCCCGGUAGCUAAAUGCGGAAGAGAUAAGUGCUGAAAGCAUCUAAGCACGAAACUUGCCCCGAGAUGAGUUCUCCCUGACUCCUUGAGAGUCCUGAAGGAACGUUGAAGACGACGACGUUGAUAGGCCGGGUGUGUAAGCGCAGCGAUGCGUUGAGCUAACCGGUACUAAUGAACCGUGAGGCUUAACCUU